AAAAAAAGUUUAAAGAGUUGACAAGUCUAUGUUACGCUGUCACUGAAGCUGCUUUAAAGUCAAAUAAAAACUUAAUCAAAAUGGAUACCUUCCAACUUAUUGGAAAAGUAAUUAGGCAUUCUUCUAACCGAAUAAAGAGAACAUCCACUAAUUUGGAUUUCGAUCAAUGAUGGCUCAACUGUUGUAUUUUAUUUAUUUUUUUUCCAUUUUUAAGCAAUUUUCUUGUAUUUAUAAUGCACAAUCGAUUAUAUUCUACUGUACCUAUUAGUUUUUAAUUUGAAAAGGUAACUUUGUUUGAAAAAUUAUUCUUAUUUUUUGUAAAGUUAUUAAUUUAUUUUAAAUAUAUCAAAUUACACUU